rnacentral:misc_RNA from 1 species
AAUUGGUGGCUGGGAUGAUGUUCUUGUUAUGUGUGAAAGAGGGCAUUUGCAACCACAAGUCCUUUUCUUUGAAGCUGUAAAGUAGUUUGACUUGGAAAAGAUGCAAACAGAUUGAUCUGACCUUCAUGUUAUGUAUUGAUGGAGCAAAAGAGGUCUCAAAUUCAUACUCUGGAAAUAUAGGUGUACAAACCCUAGUUGUAGUAUACAAACAAGUUGUCUUGAUGAAGAGAGAAAAGGAGUCACAGUUGUGUGCAGACAGUUUUCAUAG